rnacentral:rRNA from 1 species
ACUCACCACUUCUUGUUUUUUCCGCCUAUAUACCGCCGUCGUCAGCUUACCCUGUGAAGGUAGCAUAGUAAGCAAAAUAGGUCCACCCAAAAACGUCAGGUCAAGGUGUAGCGUACGAAGUGGGCAGAAAUGGGCUACAUUUUCUACAACAGAAUAUACGGAUGGCGCCCUGAAAUAACACGCCUGAAGGUGGAUUUAGUAGUAAAAAGAAAAUAGAGAGUUCUUUUGAAUUAGGCUCUGAGACGCGCACACACCGCCCGUCACUCUCCCCUUAUACCAUUAAAAUUUUAAAUACAUAAUAACAUUUUCACUACUACGGGGAGGCAAGUCGUAACAUGGUAAGUGUACCGGAAGGUGUACUUGGAAUAA